rnacentral:rRNA from 1 species
UAAGAGGUCCCGCCUGCCCAGUGACCAUGUGUUCAACGGCCGCGGUAUUUUAACCGCGCAAAGGUAGCGUAAUCACUUGUCUUUUAAAUGUAGACCUGUAUGAAUGGCACAACGAGGGCUUAACUGUCUCCUUUUUCCAGUCAAUGAAAUUGAUCUCCCCGUGCAGAAGCGGGGAUGACCCCAUAAGACGAGAAGACCCUGUGGAGCUUUAGACACCAAAACAGACAAUUUACCCUCUCUAGAAAGAGACAAACUUAUUGAAUCCCUGUCAUGAUGUCUUUGGUUGGGGCGACCUCGGAGAAACAAAAAACCCCCGUGUGGAAUAGGAGCAUUUUUCUCUUGAUAGCUCCCAAAACCAAGAGCUACCACUCUAACUAUCAGAACUUCUGACCAAUGAGGAUCCGGCUUAAUGCCGAUCCACGGACCAAGUUACCCCAGGGAUAACAGCGCAAUCCUCUUCUAGAGCCCCUAUCGACAAGAGGGUUUACGACCUCGAUGUUGGAUCAGGGCAUCCUAAUGGUGCAGCCGCUAUUAAGGGUUCGUUUGUUCAACGAUUAAAGCCC